GCUUAAGUUGCGCACUUGCUGUAAAUAUGGACAGAGAACGAUUGGUGGAAUUUAAGUGGACCUUCUGUGAGUCUCAGAGGCCCAUAAAGAACCACCAUACACUC